GUUUUUCUUUAUUUUUACUAUUUUCUACAUUGUACAAUAAGUGUAGACAUCAAAACUAUGAAAUAACACAUGGAAUCAUGUAGCCAAAAAAGUGUUAAACAAAUCAAAAUAUAUGUUAUAUUCUUCAAAGUAGCCACCCUUUGCCUUGAUGACAGCUUUGCACAAACUUGGCAUUCUCUCAACCAGCUUCAUGAGGAAUGCUUUUCUAAGAGUCUUGAAGGAGUUCCCACAUAUGCUGAGCACUUGUUGGCUGCUUUUCCUUCACUCUGCGGUCCAACUCAUCCCAAACCAUCUCAAUUGGGUUGAGGCCGGGUUAUUGUGGAGGCCAGGUCAUCUGAUUCAGCACUCCAUCACUCUCCUUCUUGGUCAAAUAGCCCUUACAUAGCCUGGAGGUGUGUUGGGUCAUUGUUUUGUUGAAAAACAAAUAGUCCCACAAAGCGCAAACCAGAUGGGAUGACGUAUCGCUGUAGAAUGUGGUGGCAGCCAUGCUGGUUAAGUAAUGCCUUGAAUUCUAAAUAAAUCAUGACAGUGUCAUCAGCAAAGCACCCCCGCACCAUCACACCUCCUCCAUGCUUCACAGUGGAAACCACACAUGCAGAGAUCAUCCGUUCACCUACUCUGCGUCUCACAAAGACACGGCGGUUGGAACCAAAAAUCUCAAAUUUGGACUCAUCAGACCAAAGGACAGAUUUCCACCGGUCUAAUGUCCAUUGCUCAUGUUUCUUGGCCCAAGCAAGUCUCUUCUUAUUAUUGGUGUCCUUUAGUAAUGCCUUCUUUGCUGCAAUUCAACCAUAAAGGCCUGAUUCACGUGAUAAGUGCAGUCUCCUCUGAACAGUUGAUGUUGAGAUGUGUCUGUUACUUGAACUCUGUGAAGCAUUAAUUUGGGCUGCAAUCAGAGGUGCAGUUAACUCUAAGGAAUGUAUCCUCUACAGCAGAGGUAACUCUGGGUCUUCCUUUCCUGUGGCGUUCCUCAUGAGAGCCAGUUUCAUCAUAGCGCUUGAUGGCUUUUGCGACUGCACUUUUCACGUUUCAGGUAAGACCCAAAUGCAGACUGUGUUGAAGUAACAAUGUUUAUUACAGCAACAGGGGCAUGCAAACGACAGAUCAAGGCAGGCAGGGGUCAAUAAUCCAGAGUAGUGUGGCAAAGGUACAGGACGGCAGGCAAGCUCAGGGUCAGGUCAGGCAGAGGUCGGUAAUCCUGAGUAGGGGGCAAAGGUACGGGACAGCAGGCAGGCUCAGAGUCAGGACAGGCAAGGGUCAAAACCAGGAGGGUGAGAAAAAGAGACUAGGGAAAAGCAGGCGCUGUGACAAAACAUUGGUUGAUUUGACAAACGGGCAACAGACAAACAGAAAACGCAGGUAUAAGUACCCAGGGGAUAAUGGGGAAGAUGGGCGACACCUGGAGGGGGGUGGAGACAAGCACAAGGACAGGUGAAAAACAGAUCAGGGCGUGACAGCACAUGAAGAAACUUUUAAGUUCUUGAAAUUUUCCUGGAUUGACUGACCUUCAUGUCUUAAAGUAAUGAUAGACUGUCGUUUCUCUUUGCUUAUUUGAGCUGUUCUUGCCCUAAUUUGGACUUGGUCUUUUACCAGAUAUCUUCUGUAUACCACCCCUACCUUGUCACAACACAAAUGAUUGGCUCAAACACAUUAAGUAAAGAAAUUCUACAAAUUAACUUUUAACAAGGCACACCUGUUAAAUGAAAUCCAUUCCACGUGACUACCUCAUGAAGCUGGUUGAGAGAAUGCUAAGUGUGCAAAGCUGUCAUCAAGGCAAAGGGUGGCUACUUUGAAGAAUCUCAAAUAUUUUCGACAACCAAAUUGAAGCCAAAAUGAUUGAUGAAAUCAAAGUGUUUCAGUUGUAUGGCGAUUCAUAACUUACAUUUUACCGGUACUACCAGUAGUAGCAGGCCAACCUAUAACACCAAGACGGAACGCUUUUGAAGUGAUAAUGCGCCGCCGAGAACAUGUCCAGCGUAGUACAUCGCCAGUGGCACGCACACACUUCGUGCUGAUCAGCAGCUCCACAAUGAUGUGAUCGACUGUCUCCAAGGUGGGGGCUUUUCGUGGCAGCCAGACGAGACAAUCAAAGGAGGAUGUGGUGAGCAAAGUUACAGGGCUCGAACUUAGUCAAGCUUGCUCAAUAGAUUUGAUGCUUCUAAUUGUGCACGUUAAAAACAACAUUUUUUAUUUGGUGAUGAUAGGCAAUACUCUAUGGUUGGAUUCAUGUAUUUUUGCCAAUGCUAGAUUCAUUUGGCAGACCUAACUUGAUUGACCCUUUUUCUACAAGGCCUAGUCUAUGAGAGGCCUAAUCAUAUUUGUAUGAAUAUUUUGUUAACGCCUAGGCUAUAGAGAUGCAGUCAGCCAGGACAUUCGUUACCCGAUUAUCAAAAGCACUCUGGUAUAUGGACCUCCAUCUAGAGAAGUUUAAAGAGGGAGGCUUAGCCAUACCAGACAGAUUACUGCAAUUACCACAAGGCCUUGGAUCCAACAACAGUUCUCGGAGAAGAUGUGGUGUGUCUAACAGAGUCCAUAGCAGCUUUUGCAUCCCACUGGGAGAAGGUGAAUCAAGCAAUGACCAGAUGUCACCAACAGCCCACUCCCUACGUACACCAGUCUGAUGUUUUAUGCUACACUGUGAGGGCAUCAUGUAGACCGGUCAGCCCCAAGUCCAGCACUCUGUUACAAGCUUUGGAGAAAGUGCCGCAAUACCACCCUCCUCUUUCUACUGGACUUUGCUCCUGAAGACAGAUUCCGGAGAAGGAAAUGGAUUGACAACUUGAAACUUCCAUUGACUUUCACUGUAUACAAGUAUACCUGUGGUAACCACCUAGGCACUCUGACAUUCAUAUGGAAGGUAUCCUCACAUAGCAAUGGUGUUCAUGAGACCAGGCAAGCUUCUGUCAUCGCCACACUGAGAAAAGAAAUACCAACAUACUCCACACUAGAGCAAUGCAAAAAAACAUUCAUGAACAAAUACGCACACGCUGCAAAGUGAACAGCUACUUCCUGAGAGAAAUGUAUCAGUUUCUGACAGACGACAAGGGUUAAGCAAACGAUGAUGGACAGGGCCUAAUUGAUGAGAGAGUAUCCUUGUUCCUUCUUUUUAAGGAAGCUGAAUGGCAAACCACAAUCCUCAUUUCAGCCCUUUUGGGAUGAAGUACAGAAGUAUUUUAACGAAUACACAGCUCAGGUCAACGAUUGCAGACAUGGGGCGACAGUGGUUUGAGCAUUGGACUAGUAACCGAAAGGUUGCAAGAUCAAAUCCCUGAGCUGACAAGGUAAAAAUCUGUCGUUCUACCCCUGAACAAGGCAGUUAACCCACUGUUCCUAGGCCAUCAUUGAAAAUAAGAAUUUGUUCUUCACUGACAUGUCUAGUUAAAUAAAAGGUAAUAUAUAUAAGUUGAGGACUUGUGUGACAAAGUGGAAAAGCGGCUUCCACCAAAAACUAAAAUCCCAUCAAUACAGUGGCUAAGACUGCAGUUUACACCCAAGAAUCCAUGGUCCAUGUCUGCUCUCCAGUACACAGGAAGGUUUGACGUCAAGUUCAUGGUCCAGUCUCGGGUGAUAAAGGGACAUCAAGACUCAAAAGUUUGGAACUACAUUAAAACAGUUUGCCUGCAUGUGGCAGGACAGUGAAAUGUUAUGUGUGGAUGAUUAGGCAAUCAUCCCUGUCGGAGAACCUGGCCAGCCUAUAGGGACCCGUAACAGAGGCAGACAUCCAAGCAUUGCUCCUGUGAGUGGGCCAGUUCUAGCAGCUGCCGACCAUGAUUACCACAUCAGUGGACUUGUACCAUCUGUCAUGUUGAUCCCAGCAUCUCCAUCUAGUUCAUUCUAUGAUGGGAAAGUUCAUGUCACUGUCAAGGACAAGGUUUUCUAGCCAUCCAGCCACCUUUGACAUACAGUUGAAAAUCUCAGCAUCCUCAGUGGAGAGAACUAGAGUGAAGAUGAUGUGUCUCUCAACAAGUCAAUCUUGAUCAUUCAAUCUGAUGGUGGGCCAGACCACAGAACCACAAAUGCCUCUGUUCAAGCAUGCCACACACUCAAACCCACAGAUGCUGAUGCUCCAGAUACUCAACUAGUCUAAAGGCCGGUUUUACUGCUUCUUUAAUCAGAACAACAGUUUUCAGCUGUGCUAACAUAAUUGCAAAAGUGUUUUCUAAUGAUCAAUUAGCCUUUUAAAAGGAUACAUUUAAGAUUAGCUAACACAGGAGUGAUGGUUGCUGAUAAUGGGCCUCUGUACGGCUAUGUAGAUAUUCCAUUAAAAAAAGAAGUCAUUUAUAACAAUGUCUACACUGUAUUUCUGAUCAAUUGGAUGUUAUUUUAAUGGACUUUUUUUUCUCUUCUCUUUUCUUUCAAAAACAAGGACAUUUCUAAGUGACCCUAAACUUUUGAACGGUUGUGUGUAUCAGAGAGACGUUUUUUUUUUAUCAGGAAUAACGAAACUGUCACAAGCUAUACUUUAGUCUGUUUCAUUUCUCAUGGUUAUAACAACAUUGUAACAGAAAAAUAGUGUAGGUUUUCACAUGGAAUAAUAUAACUCUUGAAGCUCACACUAGACCUAGAGCCCGCACAGGUGCAUAGGACAAUGUGGUAAAGUACUGUUAUUCCUUAUCCACUUAAUGUUUUUAUACGCUCGCUCGCCACACUUUUCUGUGGGGAAAAUCUAUUAAACGGUUAAUUAAUUGUGUCUGGUAUCACUUCCCCCUGAUUCGGCUCGUACCCGGCUCAAACUCGGGACCUCUGCUUUGUAAACACACGUGGCCGCCCUCCUUGACAACAUUCCAACGGUUUGAGCCACCCAAAAGGUACCGAUUGGAUGGCUCCAUCCGCGACAUUUCAAGCUAGCUGUGGAGUGAGCUUACGGUAUGUACUUAACUCUGUUACAUGGGCUCACAAUGAAUUAAGUCAGACAAGUUUUCCGUCAGCAGUGUUGUUUAAAACCCUGAACAUCUAGGAAAGUCUAAGGCUGUGUUGUUGGUUGGCUCGACUAGGAAGGUUAUGUUGUAGGUUGGCCUGUUUUCCAUUCUCUCGGCAUGGGCGGGAUUGUCUGUGAUCCAGUACUGAAACAGGGACACAACUGCAGUGGCAUCACCUGGAAAGAGAAGAGACAAACGCUACAUUACAGUUUGAUUGCAAUCAGGAAUAGUGAGUGGUUAAACGUUAGUUAUUUAAUGAGGUCAUUACUGCUGUUCCAUAGUGGUGAGAACAAGUAAACUAAUUAUCCUAGGCUAAAUCCAGCAUUGUACUGCCAGUGUACUCCUGUCACCUACAGUAUCUCACUGUUUCCUAACAGCUUCCCUUUCCCCCUUGGCUAUGGCUUUUAUCUGACUGUUCCGUUCAGGCAAAAAUUUAAAGGAGAUUCCAUUUAGCCGGUGCAUGAAAGUCAAUAAAUAAAACUGGCAGCAGACGUCAUCCCUGAGCGAGAGGUGUUGGGUGAAACAGUGAAAUAUAAGCUGUGGGAUAUUCUUUAGCGCUGUCCCUAUGGUGAAUUGAUUCCUCCUCUCUCUCAGUUCUGAAAAGACGCUCCAGUGAACUGUAAAAAGACUUGAAGGACUUUAAAACAGGCUAAACCAAUAGCACACCGCAGGGUUACUGGGCUAAAGCAUUGGUGGCCAGAAGCAGCUGGUUUUAUUCCAUUGGUGGCCAAUUCCAUUUGUGUUUAGCUAGAUGAAUACCCCACUUUGCAUUUGCCACCUAAAACAUUUAUAGUACCCUAUUGACAUUCUGUUAAAUGGAAAUGUGCUUUUAGCAAAAAAUAACAUUGGGGAAUAUUUUGCCGCUCCGACACAAUACACAGGUGGGAAUAGAUUUGUUUUCACAGACUAAAUGGUUAUUAGACUUCUUUAUUUCCCGUUUAAAUGACUAAUUAAGUUUCAGGGAAAUACACAAAGCGUGUCC
rnacentral:lncRNA from 1 species